rnacentral:rRNA from 1 species
AUUGAACGCUGGCGGCAUGCCUUACACAUGCAAGUCGAACGGUAACAGGUCUUUGGAUGCUGACGAGUGGCGAACGGGUGAGUAAUACAUCGGAACGUGCCCGAUCGUGGGGGAUAACGAAGCGAAAGCUUUGCUAAUACCGCAUACGACCUGAGGGUGAAAGGGGGGGAUCGCAAGACCUCUCGCUAUUGGAGCGGCCGAUAUCAGAUUAGCUAGUUGGUGGGGUAAAGGCCUACCAAGGCAACGAUCUGUAGUUGGUCUGAGAGGACGACCAGCCACACUGGGACUGAGACACGGUCCAGACUCCUACGGGAGGCAGCAGUGAGGAAUCUUGCGCAAUGGGGGAAACCCUGACGCAGCAACGCCGCGUGAGUGAGGAAGGCUUUCGGGUCGUAAAGCUCUGUCAGAUGGGAAGAAAUGGAUGGGGGCUAAUAUCGCCCAUCCUUGACGGUACCAUCAGAGGAAGCACCGGCUAACUCCGUG